GGGACACCCUUAGCGGCAAGACUUGCUUCAGUGGGGCUUUGGUGCUCACUGAGUCUGCCCCCUGAGUGUGUCCCU
rnacentral:pre_miRNA from 1 species